rnacentral:rRNA from 1 species
CGCUGGCGGCGUGCUUAACACAUGCAAGUCGAACGGAAAGGCCCUGCUUUUGUGGGGUGCUCGAGUGGCGAACGGGUGAGUAACACGUGAGUAACCUGCCCUUGACUUUGGGAUAACUUCAGGAAACUGGGGCUAAUACCGGAUAGGAGCUCCUGCUGCAUGGUGGGGGUUGGAAAGUUUCGGCGGUUGGGGAUGGACUCGCGGCUUAUCAGCUUGUUGGUGGGGUAGUGGCUUACCAAGGCUUUGACGGGUAGCCGGCCUGAGAGGGUGACCGGCCACAUUGGGACUGAGAUACGGCCCAGACUCCUACGGGAGGCAGCAGUGGGGAAUAUUGCACAAUGGGCGGAAGCCUGAUGCAGCAACGCCGCGUGCGGGAUGACGGCCUUCGGGUUGUAAACCGCUUUCGCCUGUGACGAAGCGUGAGUGACGGUAAUGGGUAAAGAAGCACCGGCUAACUACGUGCCAGCAGCCGCGGUGAUACGUAGGGUGCGAGCGUUGUCCGGAUUUAUUGGGCGUAAAGGGCUCGUAGGUGGUUGAUCGCGUCGGAAGUGUAAUCUUGGGGCUUAACCCUGAGCGUGCUUUCGAUACGGGUUGACUUGAGGAAGGUAGGGGAGAAUGGAAUUCCUGGUGGAGCGGUGGAAUGCGCAGAUAUCAGGAGGAACACCAGUGGCGAAGGCGGUUCUCUGGGCCUUUCCUGACGCUGAGGAGCGAAAGCGUGGGGAGCGAACAGGCUUAGAUACCCUGGUAGUCCACGCUGUAAACGGUGGGUACUAGGUGUGGGGUCCAUUCCACGGGUUCCGUGCCGUAGCUAACGCUUUAAGUACCCCGCCUGGGGAGUACGGCCGCAGGGCUAAAACUCAAAGGAAUUGACGGGGCCCCGCACAAGCGGCGGAGCAUGCGGAUUAAUUCGAUGCAACGCGUAGAACCUUACCUGGGUUUGACAUGGAUCGGGAGUGCUCAGAGAUGGGUGUGCCUCUUUUGGGGUCGGUUCACAGGUGGUGCAUGCCUGUCGUCAGCUCGUGUCGUGAGAUGUUGGGUUAAGUCCCGCAACGAGCGCAACCCUUGUUCACUGUUGCCAGCACGUUAUGGUGGGGACUCAGUGGAGACCGCCGGGGUCAACUCGGAGGAAGGUGGGGAUGACGUCAAGUCCUCAUGCCCCUUAUGUCCAGGGCUUCACGCAUGCUACAAUGGCUGGUACAGAGAGUGGCGAGCCUGUGAGGGUGAGCGAAUCUCGGAAAGCCGGUCUCAGUUCGGAUUGGGGUCUGCAACUCGACCUCAUGAAGUCGGAGUCGCUAGUAAUCGCAGAUCAGCAACGCUGCGGUGAAUACGUUCCCGGGGCUUGUACACACCGCCCGUCAAGUCAUGAAAGUUGGUAACACCCGAAGCCGGUGGCCUAACCGUUGUGGGGGAGCCGUCGAAGGUGGGACUGGUGAUUAGG